rnacentral:tRNA from 1 species
GCUGGCGUAGCUCAGUUGGUGCAGAGCGCCUGACUGUGGAUCAGGAGGUCCCCGGUUCAAGUCCGGGCGCCAGUACCA